GAGGGGAUAGCUCAGUGGUAGAGUGUGUGCGUAGGAUGCACUACCUCCUGGGUUCAAUCCCCAGUACCUCCA
rnacentral:tRNA from 1 species